AUACAGAGGGUGCAAGCGUUAAUCGGAAUUACUGGGCGUAAAGCGCACGUAGGCGGGUAUCUAAGUCGGGUGUGAAAUCCCUCGGCCCAACCGAGGAACUGCGCCCGAAACUGGAUGUCUUGAGGAUAGGAGGGGAGCAUGGAAUUCCUGGUGGAGCGGUGAAAUGCGUUGAUAUCAGGAGGAACACCGGCGGCGAAGGCGAUGCUCUGGCCUAUUUCUGACGCUAAGGCGCGAAAGCCAGGGGAGCAAACGGGAUUAGAAACCCCAGUAGUCC
rnacentral:rRNA from 1 species